GACGAGGGGUCCAAGCGUUGUUCGGAAUUAUUGGGCGUAAAGCGGGUGUAGGUGGCUCUGUAAGUCAGAAGUGAAAUCCCCGAGCUUAACUUGGGAAGUGCUUUGAAACUGCAGAGCUUGAAUGUGGGAGAGGAUCGUGGAAUUCCAGGUGUAGUGGUGAAAUACGUAGAUAUCUGGAGGAACACCGGUGGCGAAGGCGGCGAUCUGGCCCAACAUUGACACUGAGACCCGAAAGCGUGGGGAUCAAACAGGAUUAGGAAACCU
rnacentral:rRNA from 1 species